rnacentral:rRNA from 1 species
CCCUUAGAUGUUCUGGGCCGCACACGCGCUACACUGAAGGAGGCAGCGUGUACUCCUGGAUCGAAAGAUUUGGGUAACCCGCGAAUCUCCUUCGUGCUAGGGAUUGAGGUUUGCAAUUAUCCUUCAUGAACGAGGAAUUCCCAGUAAGUGCAAGUCAUAAGCUUGCGCUGACUACGUCCCUGCCCUUUGUACACACCGCCCGUCGCUACUACCGAUUGAAUGAUUUAGUGAGGACUUCGGACUGGACCGAUGCGGCUUUCGGGCUGCGUCGGUAUUCUGGAAAGAUGUCCAAACUGUAUCAUUUAGAGGAAGUAAAAGUCGUAACA